AUGGUGAUGACCAAGAUUAACGAGGCCGCUGCAGGAGGUGCUGUAGUGGACAUGAGUAGGCUUCUGAAGUCAUUCACGUAUGAUAUGGCAUGUCGGAUCGUGUUGGGAGAGUCCUUCCGGAAAGAAGGACAGAGCAAGCUACUUCGAGACCUCAUAGACGAUACCUCACGAAUAUUAGGAGGUUUCAACUUGGAGGAGUACUUCCCAACAUUGGCAAGAGUUGGAGUGCUUAAGAGGGUGGUUUGUGCAAAGGCUGAGAGAGUGAGGCGUAGAUGGGCCUAUUUGCUGGAUAAGUUGAUCGACGAACAUGUGAGCAUGGAAAAAUCAACAGUUGAUAACAAGGAUGGGGAUUUCAUAGAUAUUUUGUUGUCUGUUCAGCAUGAGUAUGGUCUCACAAGAGAGCGAAUGAAAGCUCUCCUAACAGAUGUAUUUUUCGGUUCAACGGACACGUUAUCUAACACUCUCGAAUUCACCUUGGCCGAGUUGAUGAGGAAGCCAUGCCUAUUGGGGAAGCUACAAGAUGAAGUGAGGAGUAUCGUACCCCGUGGACAAGAAAGUAUAACCGAAACCGACAUAAACAAGAUGGCGUACUUAAGAGCAGUCAUGAAGGAGUCACUCCGGGUGUAUCCUGUUGCGCCUAUCCUUGCUCCACACCUUGCCAUGGCUGACUGCAACAUUGAUGGGUAUAUGGUUGCUGCUGGCACACAUGUCUUAGUCAAUGUAUGGGCCAUUGGUAGGGACUCCAGCUCUUGGGGGGAUGCAGAAGAGUUCAUACCUGAAAGAUUUAUAUAUGAAGAUAGUGAUGUGGAUGUCAAUUUCAAGGGGAAUGAUUUCCAGUUCUUGCCAUUUGGGUCAGGACGAAGGAUGUGCCCUGGCAUAAACCUCGCGAUUGCCAAUUUUGAGCUUAUGUUGGCAAACCUCAUGUACCAUUUUGAAUGGGAAUUGCCUCCAGGGGUUGAGACGAAAGACAUUGAUAUGACAGUGGUCUUUGGGCUAACCGUGCGCAGGAAGGAGAAGCUACUAUUAAUUCCAAAAGCAUGCAAGUAG
rnacentral:rRNA from 1 species